GGGGUAAAUUUUGUGGCGUAAGGCAGGGGAAAGAAAAGUGCGGGUUUGGAGUCUACGCCAUAGAACCUCGCGCCUGCGUAAGGACAGACCAAGUUUCCUGGCAGUGUGAGUUUAA
rnacentral:lncRNA from 1 species